rnacentral:rRNA from 1 species
AACGAACGCUGGCGGCAGGCCUAACACAUGCAAGUCGAGCGCGCCCUUCGGGGUGAGCGGCGGACGGGUGAGUAACGCGUGGGAACGUGCCCUUCUCUGCGGAAUAGCCUCGGGAAACUGAGAGUAAUACCGCAUACGCCCUUUGGGGGAAAGAUUUAUCGGAGAAGGAUCGGCCCGCGUUGGAUUAGGUAGUUGGUGGGGUAAUGGCCCACCAAGCCGACGAUCCAUAGCUGGUUUGAGAGGAUGAUCAGCCACACUGGGACUCAGACACGGCCCAGACUCCUACGGGAGGCAGCAGUGGGGAAUCUUAGACAAUGGGGGCAACCCUGAUCUAGCCAUGCCGCGUGAGUGAUGAAGGCCUUAGGGUUGUAAAGCUCUUUCAGCUGGGAAGAUAAUGACGGUACCAGCAGAAGAAGCCCCGGCUAACUCCGUG